GAGGCAACGACAUCACAAUCUCAUUGACUACAUUCCGUUAAGCAACGUAGUUAUAUGAACUAGUGCAAUACAAUAUUAACGUCUAUUUGUGAUAACUAGCUGUCUCUUGUGUAUUUAGUCAGAUCACCUGCUACCGUUUCUAUGCCAUCAAUGAGACAACCUGCCAUCUUUGUUGAAGCAAUUGAAGAAAAUGCAGAAGAGCCAGCAGACAGAACAGUCACACAAACGUCUGUCUCAAGCAAUACAAUCUAUAAGCUCUGACAUUCCUGCAUGGAAUGGCUGCAGAAUCCAAGCAAAGAAACAGACUUCAACAAGAGGAGAUAUGCCUGAUUGGGUGAAGUAAUUUCAAAUGGAACAUUCAGUUGUACGUGGUUUAUGAAGAUGGAGUGAGAUAGAAAGAUAAAGUCGGAUAGAAAGCUAGCUCUUCAUGUUCUCCUAUUAUCGGUCACGUGAUGUUUGUAACGCUAUAGAUGAGAACACGCGUCUCAUAGUGUGAAGACUGAAUAUUUAAUUCCAGAUACUUUAAUAUAGAGUAGAAUGUAAAUAGUAAACAAUGAUAUAGAAUACUCUAAAAUAGUUAUGAUUCACGAGUAUUUCCGGGUAAGCUAGUGGGACGUUAGAAAUAUUGAUACAAAACUUUGUUGGA